AGAGUUUGAUCAUGGCUCAGAUUGAACGCUGGCGGCAUGCCUUACACAUGCAAGUCGAACGGCAGCACGGGAGCAAUCCUGGUGGCGAGUGGCGAACGGGUGAGUAAAGCAUCGGAACGUGCCCAGUCGUGGGGGAUAACGUAGCGAAAGCUACGCUAAUACCGCAUACGAUCUGUGGAUGAAAGCGGGGGACCGUAAGGCCUCGCGCGAUUGGAGCGGCCGAUGUCAGAUUAGGUAGUUGGUGGGGUAAAGGCUCACCAAGCCGACGAUCUGUAGCUGGUCUGAGAGGACGACCAGCCACACUGGGACUGAGACGCGGCCCAGACUCCUACGGGAGGCAGCAGUGGGGAAUUUUGGACAAUGGGCGCAAGCCUGAUCCAGCCAUGUCGCGUGCAGGAUGAAGGCCUUCGGGUUGUAAACUGCUUUUGUACGGAACGAAAAGACUCCUUCUAAUAAAGGGGGUCCAUGACGGUACCGUAAGAAUAAGCACCGGCUAACUACGUGCCAGCAGCCGCGGUAAUACGUAGGGUGCAAGCGUUAAUCGGAAUUACUGGGCGUAAAGCGUGCGCAGGCGGUCUUGUAAGACAGGUGUGAAAUCCCCGGGCUUAACCUGGGAACUGCACUUGUGACUGCAAGGCUGGAGUACGGCAGAGGGGGAUGGAAUUCCGCGUGUAGCAGUGAAAUGCGUAGAUAUGCGGAGGAACACCGAUGGCGAAGGCAAUCCCCUGGGCCUGUACUGACGCUCAUGCACGAAAGCGUGGGGAGCAAACAGGAUUAGAUACCCUGGUAGUCC
rnacentral:rRNA from 1 species